GUAUAAUGGGUCAGCGACUUACGUUCAGUAGCGAGCUUAACCGCAUAGGGGAGGCGUAGGGAAACCGAGUCCGAACAGGGCGCCCAGUUGCUGGACGUAGACCCGAAACCAAGUGAUCUAUCCAUGGCCAGGAUGAAGGUGCGGUAACACGCACUGGAGGUCCGAACCCACUAAUGUUGAAAAAUUAGGGGAUGAGCUGUGGAUAGGGGUGAAAGGCUAAACAAACUUGGAAAUAGCUGGUUCUCUCCGAAAACUAUUUAGGUAGUGCCUCAAGUAUCACCGACGGGGGUAAAGCACUGUUAUGGCUAGGGGGUCAUCGCGACUUACCAAACCAUUGCAAACUCAGAAUACCGUCGAGUGCGAGCUUGGGAGACAGACAUCGGGUGCUAACGUCCGGUGUCGAGAGGGAAACAACCCAGACCGCCGAUUAAGGUCCCCAAGCCAUAGUUAAGUGGAAAACGAGGUGGGAA
rnacentral:rRNA from 1 species